rnacentral:rRNA from 1 species
UGAGGAAUAUUGGUCAAUGGACGCAAGUCUGAACCAGCCAAGUAGCGUGCAGGAUGACGGCCCUAUGGGUUGUAAACUGCUUUUAUAUGGGGAUAAAGUGGGGAACGUGUUCCCUUUUGCAGGUACCAUAUGAAUAAGGACCGGCUAAUUCCGUGCCAGCAGCCGCGGUAAUACGUAGGGGGCUAGCGUUGUCCGGAAUCACUGGGCGUAAAGGGUUCGCAGGCGGAAAUGCAAGUCAGGUGUAAAAGGCAGUAGCUUAACUACUGUAAGCAUUUGAAACUGCAUAUCUUGAGAAGAGUAGAGGUAAGUGGAAUUUUUAGUGUAGCGGUGAAAUGCGUAGAUAUUAAAAAGAAUACCGGUGGCGAAGGCGACUUACUGGGCUCAUUCUGACGCUGAGGAACGAAAGCGUGGGUAGCAAACAGG